rnacentral:lncRNA from 1 species
CCCUUCCUCCUAAGGUCCACAGACAAACCGAGGCACCACGCAACCGAAGUUCACUCUGGAAAGCAGUGAGUUCAUUGGACUUCCUUGGAUCACAGGUUCCACCGCCAAGGGUGGAAUUCACUCUAGGCAGCUUCUAGCUCCUCACUCACCUACCAGAGCAGCCCAGCAUCAGAUCAGCUACUGGUGAACCAGUGCUAGUCACUUACCCUCAGCCAAAGACUGGACAGAGAGCAUCUGAAUCCCGUAGCCAAAAGUGGGUUCCCAGAAACUUG